CCAGCUCGAUUCUCUGAGCAUCAUUGGUUGUGUGCACCUUCAUCCGACAAGAUGUAUUCCUUGAGGCUUGACUGGAACCUUUAUUCAAGGAUUCCAAAUCCGAAAAUAUCGGCCACAUCUGUUGGAAUCUUUAAGGAAUGGGCAGUGCACUUAGGUGGAAUUGAUAGCCGACGUGUAUUGUGUGGAUCCAAACGCACGGUUAAGAUUCUGUGGCCAUGUAGGCCAUGAUGGACCCAUUCCAGGUUGAAUUGAUCAUCUUGUGAGCCGUGUGGCCAUGGAAAGGAUCAAGAAUCUGGAUACGAGCGAUGGUCUUCUACAGUUUCGGAACCCAGCCUAGUGUGGGUCCCCCGUUCCUUCUACGUCGAUGCCAACCGUGCCAACCGUUCCCCGAGUAGUUUCCUACUGUGUCUGGAGACGACGCCAAAAGAGAUCGCUUCACUCCCGUGGUCCGUACCGUGAGAUUCUGACGGUUCUCCUUGGGAAGAAAGUCAAUUAAAUCCGAAAAGAUUGACUUGUAUCCGUGCAGUUCGUUUUCGUUGGACCACUCUUCUGAAUGAAAGGCA